rnacentral:misc_RNA from 1 species
CGCCCCCCCCCCCCCGCCCCUCUGGAUCCGCCACUGGUUGUAACCAUAAGUUUCUUCCCAACCAGACAGACUUCUGACGAAUGUUCACCACUUGUUAGAAUACGAAACCCAAACCGCACCUGCGGCAUUGUCAGCAUCCCCACUGCCAGUGCAUCACCAUCACAUUUUUGUUGGCUUGUCGAUGACGGCGCGCCACAUUCAUUGUCGACACUUAUUUCUUAGUUCUCUUAUUUGUAAAACUUGCCUACAUGUUUUUGAUAUUCCCGAGUCUCUCGCGGAUAGCUGGGAGAACGCGCGAAGCGAUUGAGCCAAAGUUCAACACGGGUCGCGGUGCUUUUGGGAUCGUCGCAAAACGUGCGGACUGUCAAACGCUAAGUUCCUCGCUGUCAGCGUCCCCGCAGUUGUACCAGUCGCUCGUGUCCGUGCAAGGAUGCCAGCAUUCCUGCCGGCUGUGUGACUACACGACCGAAAGAAGGGACCACAUGUACAGACACCUGUACAAACAUACGGGCGAGCGCCCCUUCAAGUGCCACCUGUGCACAAAGGCAUUCACUCAGGAGUUCAAGCUCAACCAGCACAUGCGGACCCACACAGGAGAGCGCCCCUUUUCCUGCGACCUCUGCAAUGCGUCCUUUUCGCGAAGAGACCACCUCAAUUACCAUAUGACCACCCAUGCUAAAAACAAGCCCUGAAGAUCACGUGCGUGAAUUCUUUUGUAGAUCAAGCACUUUAUUUGAAUUUUAACACCGGAGCUGUUUAAUCUCAGAGAAACUCUGUUAGUGACGGACAAAUAUUAUAAUCGUCACGAACCAG